GCAGCGGGUGCGGAAUGGGAGCGGCGAGCGGCGCCUGUUGCGCGCCGUCCGCCUCGAUCGACUUGAGGCGGUUGCGC
rnacentral:tRNA from 1 species